rnacentral:rRNA from 1 species
UACGUAGGGGGCAAGCGUUGUCCGGAUUUAUUGGGCGUAAAGAGCGUGUAGGCGGCCAUGUAGGUCCGUUGUGAAAACUCGAGGCUCAACCUCGAGACGCCGAUGGAAACCAUGUGGCUAGAGUCCGGAAGAGGAGAGUGGAAUUCCUGGUGUAGCGGUGAAAUGCGCAGAUAUCAGGAAGAACACCCGUGACGAAAGCGGCUCUCUGGAACGGUACUGACGCUGAGACGCGAAAGCGUGGGGAGCGAACAGG